UACGAAGGUCCCAAGCGUUAUCCGGAUUUAUUGGGUUUAAAGGGUGCGUAGGCGGACUAUUAAGUCAGUGGUGAAAGCCCCAAGCUUAACUUGGGAACUGCCAUUGAUACUGAUGGUCUUGAGUACAUUUGAGGUGGGCGGAAUGUGUCAUGUAGCGGUGAAAUGCUUAGAUAUGACACAGAACACCGAUUGCGAAGGCAGCUCACUAAACUGUAACUGACGCUGAGGCACGAAAGCGUGGGGAGCGAACAGG
rnacentral:rRNA from 1 species